UGGGGAAUUUUGGACAAUGGGCGAAAGCCUGAUCCAGCAAUGCCGCGUGCAGGAUGAAGGCCCUCGGGUUGUAAACUGCUUUUGUACGGAACGAAAAGCCUGGGGCUAAUACCCCCGGGUCAUGACGGUACCGUAAGAAUAAGCACCGGCUAACUACGUGCCAGCAGCCGCGGUAAUACGUAGGGUGCAAGCGUUAAUCGGAAUUACUGGGCGUAAAGCGUGCGCAGGCGGUUAUGUAAGACAGAGGUGAAAUCCCCGGGCUCAACCUGGGAACGGCCUUUGUGACUGCAUAGCUAGAGUACGGUAGAGGGGGAUGGAAUUCCGCGUGUAGCAGUGAAAUGCGUAGAUAUGCGGAGGAACACCGAUGGCGAAGGCAAUCCCCUGGACCUGUACUGACGCUCAUGCACGAAAGCGUGGGGAGCAAACA
rnacentral:rRNA from 1 species